UUUGGCCAAUGCAUUGGCACCAAAAGAGGCAAUUCAAUACGAGUUUCACAUUCGAGUGACGUAAAAUUUAGAUUGCAUAAAAUUGUGUGUUCUUCUAAAGGAGUUUUAAAUGCCAGAUUAAACAAGUCGUAAUUAGUUGGCCGCCCUAAAUAUGCCAGUUCGGUAUGAUUUCAUGUUUGAUUUAGUGAGAAGUCUUUUGGGACAUACCACAUAUCCGGCACAGUGUGGCCCCAACUGGGCCACUCCGAAGUGCUCAAAUUUGCAAAUUGAAUGGACCCACUUUAGAGCGGCUUUAACCCCAUUGCAAGGGCCAUUAUUGAGAACCCACAGACACACGGCGGUGGAGAACGUCGACCAGAAUGGAACGCGGAUUGGGUUGUGGAGGGGUCCAGUCCGGGUAGGGGGGUGUCCAUAAAUAACGGCAAAACAGUCAGAUAAAUUUGCAGGAGCUAUAAACAAGCUACUCCGGCGGACUCCCCAAUGCCGCCGCUCCCGUCGAAAUCGAUUUAAAUGCUCCGUUUGCGUGUUCUGUGUUCCGAGUCCGUCGGUUACCUUGAAGCCUUUAUGUAAUUUCCACACAGAAAUAAAUAGGAUGGACUAUUAAACUGAAAUGUCUCGCACUCGAAUUGAUCGAACGCAAAGCACGGCAUUCCUUCUUAUCAAGUUGAGUUGGAUAUGUAUGGCAUUCUUUGAUUACAAGCAGCAGGCGGAGACAACCUAUCAUUUUUGUGAAGUAUUACUCUCUAGACGGCAAUAAAGGAGAUAUUUCUUCAAGUGCACUGCAGACCCUCGGUCGCAUUGUGUCCCGGUUAGACCCGCCACCAUUCAGCGAAUUUCCAUGCUAAAUAGCCAGACACGUGGCAUCUGCCGCUCUCGACAUCCUCGCUCGCUUUCCCCGCGUGCACCAUUUUGAUUGGCGUUUGAUAAGCGUCAAGGACGGGCCGGAGUCCUGCGCUCCUAGACCUGGACAGCGGAAAGGAGGAGCGUAGAUAAGGACGCAACCACGACGGUUUCGAUUGUUUCGCCAGCUCAACGCCAACUAGGAUGCGGAGUGUUCCGUGUGGGAUGCAUUGCUUUCGAGCAAACAGAUUUUACGGGCACUAAAGCACGGCACAAACGCACGCAAGGAUAAUUACGGACUCACAGAGAACAAAUAAGGAUUGAUUGUGAAAAGCUCUAUGACAAACGAGGGGAAUGUUUAUUUUCAAAUAUUUGCUGUUUUAAUUUUUUGUUUUCGUGGUCAUCACAGUUUGCCACACACAGUAGAGGCUGAUUAUUUUUUUGUUUUGUGUUUAAACAAUUACAAAAAAUUGAUUGCAUGGCCUAAUGAACGACGCUUUACUGCUAUGAAUUGCUAUGAUUUAAAGAUUUAGUUAAGCAUUGGAAAUAUGUGUAGCAAACGUGAGACACCCCAAUAUUCCAUCUUUAAGGGCUCUGUGAAAACCAAUUUCCAGAACAGAAGCAUGUCCUGCCCAGCCACUUGUGCACAUUUGGGGAGGUGGCCGAAUCAGGAUAAACUUCCCGUUGGCACAGAUUCCGCACUCGAAUGGAGUCUUGCAACUAGCACAGCCCUGCUACAAUCUUGACCAGAGGUGUAUGUGCUCACCCGCGUGCCGAGUGGAAAGUUCAUUGCAUACGAAUGUACGUAGAGACGUGGGUUCGUGUAUGCCCCCAAGGAGUGUAGUUGCAGUUGUUUGCCUAAUACAUUGUUGCAAAGCAAAUCAACACAAAUUUUCGAAGGAUACGUGCACGGACUUUGUUGCCUGCCCGAUGUCUUUCGCCCGUGUCAGUGGAGCAUGCAACUUGCCGUGGCACACCCACCGCCCAUUUGCGCCCACAUUUCCACCUACAACUAACGUAAGCCAGCACAACCCAGCAGCACCCAGCACCACCUACCACCCAACAACAACCGCCCACAAAGACGGGCUGACAUGCAAACACAUAAACGCCAUUUCGCCUCCAGUUGCCACCUAAAUGGCAAUGACAUCGCCCCAGAAGACGAGCAGGAUGGCAAAAUGUUUCACUUUUGAGUCAAUUUUUCCAUCCGUGUGUACGGAGCUAGCUUUAAUAUGUUGCCUACCAAUUUGCGGACCUCCGCCGAUGUCGAUGGCCAGUCAAACGGAUCCGGGCCAGAUACGUCAGCGCUAAGUUGUCAGCUUUUUUAGGGGCACUAAAAACUGGUAUACUGCCAGCUUAGCGACGAGUAGAUGGAAAAAUUUCAACAUUUAGAGGGCAUUUGAACUAAAAUUGUUUAAGUUUUUAAAUACUCGUCUUACAUUGCGAAAACAAAAUGUCAAUGUGGAAUCAAUCCGAAGCGAAGACAAUUAAUUCGAACUUUA